AUGGUGGCGUUGAUGGGUACAGCAGUCUUGUUGUUCCUCCGUGCUUCCAGCAACAAUCGCAGCAGUACUGUAAUGGAUUGCUUCAUGAAUGCUGUCUCCAGAUAUGGCGUUCCCUCCAGAGUUAGGACGGACCAUGGAGGAGAAAACAACACUGUCUCCAGAUAUGGCGUUCCCUCUAGAGUUAGAACGGACCAUGGAGGAGAAAACAACACUGUCUCCAGAUAUGGCGUUCCCUCCAGAGUUAGGACGGACCAUGGAGGAGAAAACAACACUGUCUCCAGAAAUGGCGUUCCCUCCAGAGUUAGAACGGACCAUGGAGGAGAAAACAACACUGUCUCCAGAUAUGGCGUUCCCUCUAGAGUUAGAACGGACCAUGGAGGAGUAAACAACACUGUCUCCAGAUAUGGCGUUCCCUCCAGAGUUAGAACGGACCAUGGAGGAGAAAACAACACUGUCUCCAGAUAUGGCGUUCCCUCCAGAGUUAGAACGGACCAUGGAGGAGAAAACAACACUGUCUCCAGAUAUGGCGUUCCCUCCAGAGUUAGGACGGACCAUGGAGGAGAAAACAACACUGUCUCCAGAUAUGGCGUUCCCUCCAGAGUUAGGACGGACCAUGGAGGAGAAAACAACACUGUCUCCAGAUAUGGCGUUCCCUCCAGAGUUAGGACGGACCAUGGAGGAGAAAACAACACUGUCUCCAGAUAUGGCGUUCCCUCCAGAGUUAGAACGGACCAUGGAGGAGAAAACAACACUAUCUCCAGAAAUGGCGUUCCCUCCAGAGUUAGGACGGACCAUGGAGGAGAAAACAACACUGUCUCCAGAUAUGGCGUUCCCUCUAGAGUUAGAACGGACCAUGGAGGAGAAAACAACACUGUCUCCAGAAAUGGCGUUCCCUCUAGAGUUAGAACGGACCAUGGAGGAGAAAACAACACUGUCUCCAGAUAUGGCGUUCCCUCCAGAGUUAGAACGGACCAUGGAGGAGAAAACAACACUGUCUCCAGAUAUGGCGUUCCCUCCAGAGUUAGAACGGACCAUGGAGGAGAAAACAACACUGUCUCCAGAUAUGGCGUUCCCUCCAGAGUUAGGACGGACCAUGGAGGAGAAAACAACACUGUCUCCAGAUAUGGCGUUCCCUCCAGAGUUAGGACGGACCAUGGAGGAGAAAACAACACUGUCUCCAGAUAUGGCGUUCCCUCCAGAGUUAGAACGGACCAUGGAGGAGAAAACAACACUGUCUCCAGAUAUGGCGUUCCCUCCAGAGUUAGAACGGACCAUGGAGGAGAAAACAACACUGUCUCCAGAUAUGGCGUUCCCUCCAGAGUUAGGACGGACCAUGGAGGAGAAAACAACACUGUCUCCAGAUAUGGCGUUCUCUCCAGAGUUAGGACGGACCAUGGAGGAGAAAACAACACUGUCUCCAGAUAUGGCGUUCCCUCUAGAGUUAGAACGGACCAUGGAGGAGAAAACAACACUGUCUCCAGAUAUGGCGUUCCCUCCAGAGUUAGGACGGACCAUGGAGGAGAAAACAACACUGUCUCCAGAUAUGGCGUUCCCUCCAGAGUUAGAACGGACCAUGGAGGAGAAAACAACACUGUCUCCAGAUAUGGCAUUCCCUCCAGAGUUAGAACGGACCAUGGAGGAGAAAACAACACUGUCUCCAGAAAUGGCGUUCCCUCCAGAGUUAGAACGGACCAUGGAGGAGUAAACACUGUCUGCUUGUUGAAUGUAAUACAUAUUGAAAAUAUUAUUAAAAAAAUAAGAGCUACAUGCAUCCUUAAAAUGUCUUCUUGA
ensembl:lncRNA